UACGGGGGGAGCAAGCGUUGUUCGGAUUUACUGGGCGUAAAGGGCGCGUAGGCGGUCAGCACAAGUCAGUUGUGAAAUCUCCGAGCUUAACUCGGAAAGGUCAACUGAUACUGUGCGACUAGAGUGCGGAAGGGGCAACUGGAAUUCUUGGUGUAGCGGUGAAAUGCGUAGAUAUCUGGAGGAACACCGGUGGCGAAGGCGGCAUCCUGGACCGACACUGACGCUGAGGAGCGAAAGCCAGGGGAGCAAACGGG
rnacentral:rRNA from 1 species